AUAUUGGGCAAUGGGGGUAACCCUGACCCAGCGACGCCGCGUGGGGGAAGACGGCCUUCGGGUUGUAAACCUCUUUUGUACGGGAAGAAGGAAGUGACGGUACUGUACGAAUAAGUCCCGGCUAACUACGUGCCAGCAGCCGCGGUAAUACGUAGGGGACGAGCGUUGUCCGGAAUUACUGGGCGUAAAGGGCGCGCAGGCUGUGCUGCAAGUCAGCUGUUAAAUGUCUGGGCUUAACCCGGGCAUGCGGUUGAGACUGCGGUGCUGGAGUGCUGUAGAGGCGAGUGGAAUUCCCAGUGUAGCGGUGAAAUGCGUAGAUAUUGGGAAGAACACCGGUGGCGAAGGCGACUUGCUGGGCAGCAACUGACGCUGAGGCGCGAAAGCCAGGGGAGCAAACGG
rnacentral:rRNA from 1 species